ensembl:lncRNA LINC02005 long intergenic non-protein coding RNA 2005
GGACUUUGUCAAGAUCAUCUGAUGAUAUACACAACCUGGAUACCCCAUGGUUCUCCUACCACCAGAUGCUACUGAGGCUAAACUGACUGGACUGAGGAAAAAUAUCUGUGGGGAAAACUUUCUUUCAGAAUCCAACUUUGAACCAGAGAAAUCCAUUCUCUUGAAGCUGUCUGCUGUGGAGAAGUUGGCCUUACCAAUCUGCCUUUGAAGUUCAAGUUAUACAGGAUCUGCGAGGCUACCUGUGAAUGAAUGGUUGGUUGGUCACUACUUGCAAGUUUUUCAGGAGCUCCUGAAAGAUUACUGCAUAAAUAAGGGAAGAUGGAGACCAGACCUCUGGCUACUGUUGCUGCCACCACUACAGAUACCACCUUCACCCUUAUGAACCCCCUAUUUACUGAACAUUCUCUAUAUGCCAGAUGCAAAAUUGGCUACCACAUUGGAAACUGAUAUUGAAUUUCUCAACGAGUCCAACAGAGUCAGUUUUCCUCCAACACUGAAACAGACCUUGCUUUCUUCAGUUGAGCAACAACUAAAGAUUAUGGACCCAGCUCGUGUGGAGGUGCCAUAUUGCAUAAACAGUGCAUACAGUGAGCCCUCGCAUUCACACUCAGCAUGAUGUGAUUACGACAGUAUGUAUUUCCAUAGGGACUAAAUCAUGCUUAGGCAGAGCAGUUUUACAUCUUUCUCAUGCCCAUUCACUUUAGGGCAUGUGUUUGUUGGGUGGCAUUGUCAGCAUUGUUUAAUUAUUUACCUCUUUUGCAUUAUUUAAAUUGGUUGUCUCUUUGCUUUAUUUUUCUUUUAUAGGAGAAGUGACGAUAUUUAAUAAAAUUUAAUGUGAUGGUGCAA